rnacentral:rRNA from 1 species
AUGAUCAAUUUCCCCUUCCUCAAGAAGCUCUCCCUAUUUUGCGUUUCCAUCUCAGUGGACCUCUUCCCCAGACUGCUCUCCGGCUGCCAUGCCUUGGAGAGUCUAUACAUGACCAACGUUCGUGUUGUGGGUUGCAUCCGUCUUCGCUUGCCGACCAUUAGGACCAUCAUCUUCCGUCAUAGCUAUGGUGAAACCCCGGAACUGAUCAUCGAGGAUGCUCCUCGCCUUGUAAGGUUACUACUAGUACCUUAUUGUGAGAGAGAUGAUAGUGUGACUAUCAAGGUGAUUAGGGCGCCUAAUCUGGAGAUAUUGGGACCUUUCUUUGUCGUCGCCUCCAAGCUCCUACUCUUCCAGGGAAUAAGCCCAGUCAGCUCCACAAACACGAUGCGCACCUUGAAGGUUUUGGCUCUCAAGUCUUCUGGGCAGAAAUUGAAUGCAGUUCUUAAUAUCUUUAGGUGGUUCCCCUGUUUGGAAAAGCUCUGUGUUAUUUUUCAUACAAACCGUGAGAGGAAUGACGAAAAUGAGCCACGGUAUGACCCACUACAUCCAAUCGAAUGCCUUGAGACCCAUCUAAAAAAAGUGGUGUUUAAGUCAUUUGAGGGCUAUGGCAAACAGGUUGACUAUGCGAGGUUCUUUGUAUUGAAUGCAAAGGUGCUAGACAAAAUUGAAUUUGAAGUAAAAAAUCACUACAGCAGUGGAACGGUGGCUUCUAAACACAAGCUGCUACAAGUGGAAAACAGAGCUUCCCGAGAAGCUCGGUUUGAAUUCAGGACUAUUUCCUACUGA